rnacentral:rRNA from 1 species
AACGAACGCUGGCGGCAUGCCUAACACAUGCAAGUCGAACGAGACCUUCGGGUCUAGUGGCGCACGGGUGCGUAACGCGUGGGAACCUGCCCUUAGGUUCGGUAUAACUCCCCGAAAGGGGUGCUAAUACCGGAUAAUGUCUUCGGACCAAAGAUUUAUCGCCUUUGGAUGGGCCCGCGUUGGAUUAGCUAGUUGGUAGGGUAAAAGCCUACCAAGGCGACGAUCCAUAGCUGGUCUGAGAGGAUGAUCAGCCACACUGGGACUGAGACACGGCCCAGACUCCUACGGGAGGCAGCAGUGGGGAAUAUUGGACAAUGGGCGAAAGCCUGAUCCAGCAAUGCCGCGUGAGUGAUGAAGGCCUUAGGGUUGUAAAGCUCUUUUACCCGGGAUGAUAAUGAUAGUACCGGGAGAAUAAGCUCCGGCUAACUCCGUG